UCAGAACUUUGUUUCCAGCCUGGAGAAACUUCAACAAUGUCAAGUUUUCCUACAGAUUCCUUCCUUUAACUGCUUUCCGAAAGAGAAAUCUCUGCCUGAACUGAGAAACAUAAGCGGAAAUUUAACAGGGAUAAAUGAAAAGUCUUGAUUCCAAAAAUCAGCACCCAUCAGCAUGAAAAAGACAAAGAGAUUUUAACAGAAUCCAAGAUCAAUAUGAAACAAGAAAAUAGAGGAGCCAAAAAAAUGAUUUUGUGUGCCUGCGACAACUUCAGGAUGUCCUGGAGAUCCCUUUCUUCAGUUUCCUUCCAAAUGGAAUCAUCUGCUUCAUUAUAAUCUGGAUACAUAAAGAGAAAUCACUGAUAUAAGGUCUUACAGUAACUCUCAACCACAGUUUUCCUCACCUAGAAUUACUUGGAUUAUGUGUAUAUGAUUGUGAUAGAAAACUACUGUGCUAUAAGAAAUAAUGAGCUAAUGUUUACAGGAAAACAUGGAAAAACUUGUAAGAAACAAUGAAGAGUAAAAUGAGCAGAACCAAGAGAGCAUUAUACACAGUAAUAGUAAAAUUGUUUUAAGAAUGACUAAAUGAAUAACUUAUUUUGACUAUUAUAAACACCCAAAUUAACUAUAAAGACACUAACUGGAUCCAGAGGAAAAAACUGAAAAAUAGAAGUAUGUAUUCACACACACACACACACACACACACACACAGCCCUAUUUUUAUCUAAUGGUGGGCAUCUAUAGAAGAGAAUUAGGGGAGGGAAGAAAAAAGAAA
rnacentral:lncRNA from 1 species